CUAAAAGGAAAUAUAUGGGUCUUCGGAAUGUGGCGUAAAGGUAGAGGAAUGAUAACAAUGAGAAAUGUUGAAUUGGAAACUUAAAUGCUAAAUACAAACUUCUUUUUCUUUUUAUACUUCAAAUACAAUUUGGAUUAAUACAAAAGAGCUUUGAAAUUCACGAAUUUUUUUUAUUUUUUUACAAACCUAUUUCGGAGGUGCUAAAAAAGUCUGUACUCCUCGUUUUUGCUAG
rnacentral:lncRNA from 1 species